rnacentral:rRNA from 1 species
GAUGAACGCUGGCGGCGUGCCUAAUACAUGCAAGUCGAGCGAACGGACGAGAAGCUUGCUUUUCUGAUGUUAGCGGCGGACGGGUGAGUAACACGUGGAUAACCUACCUAUAAGACUGGGAUAACUUCGGGAAACCGGAGCUAAUACCGGAUAAUAUUUUGAACCGCAUGGUUCAAAAGUGAAAGACGGUCUUGCUGUCACUUAUAGAUGGAUCCGCGCUGCAUUAGCUAGUUGGUAAGGUGACGGCUUACCAAGGCAACGAUGCAUAGCCGACCUGAGAGGGUGAUCGGCCACACUGGAACUGAGACACGGUCCAGACUCCUACGGGAGGCAGCAGUAGGGAAUCUUCCGCAAUGGGCGAAAGCCUGACGGAGCAACACCGCGUGAGUGAUGAAGGUCUUCGGAUCGUAAAACUCUGUUAUUAGGGAAGAACAUAUGUGUAAGUAACUGUGCACAUCUUGACGGUACCUAAUCAGAAAGCCACGGCUAACUACGUG